AGCUGGGAGCCCUGCUGCAACAUCUCCCAAGGCUGCAUACCAGUAGGCACAGACAUGUCCAUACUUCCUCCAAAGUAAGACGUCCUUCAGGAAGAUACUGCUUUCAGAUGUGACCUCAUCCACAGAGUGCAAAGACAGAUUUCAGCAAGAUGGGUUCCAAACUUCUCAAUGAAAACAAGAAGCCUCUCAGUGAAAACCGACAUUUCAAAAGUUUUCAGACAUCACCUGUGUUCCCAAAGACCGAGCUGGGACAGGAAGAUGUUGCAGGCUUCACUUCUCCAACAGGCAAGAAAGAAUUGGAUAGGCAGACAGAAGAGGCAUGUUUUGAAAAUCAUGUCCUUGAUGGGAAGCAUAAGUAAAAUGGCUGUUCCUGCAAAGACAACUAGAAAUUUUUACAUUUUUGUGCAAGUUGAUUUCAUGACUAGACUUCACAAGGGAACUUUCUGUCACUCUGAACAAAAUGCACAGGUCUAAAGAAUCAAGAAUCCUGUAUAAAGACAAUGGAGGAAA